GACGAACGCUGGCGGCGUGCUUAACACAUGCAAGUCGAACGGAAAGGCCUGCUUUCCCUUGUGGAUUGCGGGUACUCGAGUGGCGAACGGGUGAGUAACACGUGAGUGAUCUGCCCCCAACUUGGGUAUAAGCCUGGGAAACUGGGUCUAAUUCCCGAUAGGACUGCAGGGUGGUGCCUGUGGUGGAAAACGAUUUUCUAGUGGUUGGGGAUGAGCUCGCGGCCUAUCAGCUUGUUGGUGGGGUAAUGGCCUACCAAGGCGGCGACGGGUAGCCGGCCUGAGAGGGUGGACGGCCACAUUGGGACUGAGAUACGGCCCAGACUCCUACGGGAGGCAGCAGUGGGGAAUAUUGCACAAUGGGCGGAACCCUGAUGCAGCGACGCCGCGUGGGGGAUGACGGCCUUCGGGUUGUAAACUCCUUUCGACCGCGAGGAAGCCACCUGGUUGGAAGGGUGGUGACGGUAGUGGUAGAAGAAGCACCGGCUAACUACGUG
rnacentral:rRNA from 1 species